GUCCUGGAGCCGGAAGCAGAAGCGGCGGUCGGGGAGUGGUCGCCGGGGACUGCGGUUUCCCUUCCGCGCCAGCCUAUUUCUCGGGAGGCCUGCUCUUCAUUUUCUGAAGCCAGUUCCUGAGCCUGCAAAAGAAAUUUCUUACGUUUCGUCAGAGUUAUGAUCAAGCAGAGGAGAGCCCUGAAAUUGGGCAGGGACAAGACUUCAGGCAGAUUGUUUAGCUGCAGCAUCAGCCGAUCGAUGUCCUUUGGCUUCUGUUGAGACAGAUUUGGAAUGCCCAGAGACUAGUCAAUGGACGAGCUGGUACAAGUCUGAAUAUCCA